UACGUAGGGCGCAAGCGUUGUCCGGAAUUAUUGGGCGUAAAGAGCUCGUAGGCGGCCUGUUACGUCUGCUGUGAAAUCCCGGGGCUUAACCCCGGGCGUGCAGUGGAUACGGGCAGGCUGGAGGCAGGCAGGGGAGAACGGAAUUCCCGGUGUAGCGGUGAAAUGCGUAGAUAUCGGAAGGAACACCUGUGGCGAAAGCGGCUCACUGGACCAUUACUGACGCUGAUGCACGAAAGCUAGGGGAGCAAACAGG
rnacentral:rRNA from 1 species